AGUAGGGAAUCUUCCGCAAUGGACGAAAGUCUGACGGAGCAACGCCGCGUGAGUGAUGAAGGUUUUCGGAUCGUAAAACUCUGUUGUCAGGGAAGAACAAGUGCCGGAGUAACUGCCGGCACCUUGACGGUACCUGACCAGAAAGCCACGGCUAACUACGUGCCAGCAGCCGCGGUAAUACGUAGGUGGCAAGCGUUGUCCGGAAUUAUUGGGCGUAAAGCGCGCGCAGGCGGUUUCUUAAGUCUGAUGUGAAAGCCCCCGGCUCAACCGGGGAGGGUCAUUGGAAACUGGGAAACUUGAGUGCAGAAGAGGAGAGUGGAAUUCCACGUGUAGCGGUGAAAUGCGUAGAGAUGUGGAGGAACACCAGUGGCGAAGGCGACUCUCUGGUCUGUAACUGACGCUGAGGCGCGAAAGCGUGGGGAGCGAA
rnacentral:rRNA from 1 species